AGCCCCAAAGGAGGGUAAAACCUUGGAAAAUCAGACCUAGACCCUGACUCCAAAAUAAAAUAUUGAUGUGGGAUUAAUACCUUUUAUGAUGGAAGAAACUUAUGGAUCUGAUCCUUGACUUCGCAGCCACGCACAUGAAUGGCCUCUAUGAGAAGUACACGCAAAGCCCUAGGUAGAUCGUCUUCCGCGGGAGUGCUAGCU
rnacentral:lncRNA from 1 species